CCCAGUUAAAAUUGACGUGACGAGGCCUCCUGACGUGGUGUCAGACGGAUGCAUGAAAAGCUGCGCCUGGCAACUUGUGCAACCGCCUUUGCAUGGUUUGAGAAAAGGAAACCAUCAAUUGGUACGAAAAAUCCGCCGCAUUAAUUGUCUAUAAUCAUUGUAAACCGAAACGCCGCGUCCGCCGCAUGGCCUGCCCACUUCCCGAGAAUACAGGAAGUGGGAGAGGUGGAGUUGCGGGCUGAUAAGAGCCUAAUAGGUCCGCCUGUACCGCUUACCCUGCCAUUGCCUUCAAACCUUCCGCUCUCAUCUUCUCCAAUCUCCUGCAUCUUCCUAACUCAAGCCCAUAUUCGCACCUCUAAUGGCGAAGAGCGACUCCAGGAAGAGGGCCGAACUGAUGGCCAAGGAGUGGAAGAAAUCUCGCAGCACCACAAAAUCUCUUGGUGACCUCGUCGAU
rnacentral:lncRNA from 1 species